GGCGGCGUAGCUCAGCUGGUUAGAGCGACGGUCUCAUAAUCCGUAGGUCCGUGGUUCGAGUCCACGCGCCGCCACCA
rnacentral:tRNA from 1 species